GCGAUUCCAGAACAUUUGGUUCCCUGACCAGGAAUCAGGAAAGAAGUGGCCCUUUUGGGCAUUGGCCCGAACUCCACCAGAGGGAGCAGCUCUUUGCCCCCUUGAGGGGAAUAGUAUGCCCCUGGUACUAAUUUCCUAGGCUCCCCAACAGGACACAGAGAACUGCUCACCAGUGGCAGAUCGCCUGAACCCAAGACAGAAGACAACAGAAGGAAGGCUGCUGUUAGUGGUGUCUCAUCUGUCUCUUUCCUUUGCUUGAUGGGAGCAGCUUCAUGGAAGAUGGGGUUCGUCAUGCUGGAUAUACAGUAACCACAAAGGAUGAGGUGAUCCUAGCCUGGGUCCUUUCCGUUUGGCUGGUCGCCACAAUGGGGUAAGCUGUGGCCACUCAUACAGGCACUCUGAUGGACAAAGGGUAAAAAGCCACCAUGAAGUAAACUGCUCUCCUUUGCCCUGCCCCUUUGCCAUGUUGUUUCUGUACUGAAGCCAAAUAACCAUGGACUAAAACAUCU